UGAGUAGAAAAGAUAAUCGCGUUAAUACGAGGAAAGUCCGUGCACUAUAGAGCAGAAUGCUGGAUAACGUCCAGUGGGGGCGACCCUAAGGAAAGUGCAACAGAGAGAUACCGCCAAUUUUUGGUAAGGGUGGAAAGGUAAGGUAAGAGCUUACCAGCAUGUAGGUGACUAUAUGGCUAUGUAAACCCCAUUCAGUGCAAGAUCAAGUAGGAUUAUAUGUGGCUGCUCGUCACUCCUAAGGUAGAUCGCUUGAACUAUUUGGUAACAUUUAGUCUAGACAGAUGAUUAUCUAAAACAGAACACGGCUUAUUUUCUGGUCACUUG
rnacentral:RNase_P_RNA from 2 species